AUACUUACCUAGGAUAGGGAUAUCGUUAUCGUGCAGUCGGCUCCCCCAGGGUAAGGCUGCUUCAUUGCACUGCGGAGUGGUUGACCCUUGCGAUUAUUUUUAUUUUUUAUAAGUUUCACUUCUACCGUGUGUGACU
rnacentral:snRNA from 9 species